rnacentral:rRNA from 1 species
UACGGGGGGAGCAAGGCGUUGUUCGGAUUUACUGGGCGUAAAGGGCGCGUAGGCGGCCACCGCAAGUCGACUGUGAAAUCUCCGGGCUUAACCCGGAAAGGUCAGCCGAUACUGCGGGGCUAGAGUGGCAGAAGGGGCAACUGGAAUUCGUCGGUGUAGCGGUGGAAAUGCGUAGAUAAUCGAGAGGAACACCUGCGGCGAAGG